rnacentral:rRNA from 1 species
GAUGAACGCUGGCGGCGUGCCUAAUACAUGCAAGUCGAGCGAAUGGAUUAAGAGCUUGCUCUUAUGAAGUUAGCGGCGGACGGGUGAGUAACACGUGGGUAACCUGCCCAUAAGACUGGGAUAACUCCGGGAAACCGGGGCUAAUACCGGAUAACAUUUUGAACCGCAUGGUUCGAAAUUGAAAGGCGGCUUCGGCUGUCACUUAUGGAUGGACCCGCGUCGCAUUAGCUAGUUGGUGAGGUAACGGCUCCCCAAGGCAACGAUGCGUAGCCGACCUGGGAGGGUGAUCGGCCACACUGGGACUGAGACGCGGCCCAGACUCCUACGGGAGGCAGCAGUAGGGAAUCUUCCGCAAUGGACGAAAGUCUGACGGAGCAACGCCGCGUGAGUGAUGAAGGCUUUCGGGUCGUAAAACUCUGUUGUUAGGGAAGAACAAGUGCUAGUUGAAUAAGCUGGCACCUUGACGGUACCUAACCAGAAAGCCACGGCUAACUACGUGCCAGCCGCCGCCGCAG